AGGACGAACGCUGGCGGCGUGCUCAUACAUGCAAGUCGAACGAGAAUACUCUAGCUUGCUAGAGAGGAAAGUGGCGGACGGGUGAGUAAUAUGUAGAGAAUCUGCCCUGGAGAGGGGGACAACAGAGGGAAACUUCUGCUAAUACCCCAUAUGCGCGUAGUUGCGAUACUAUUCGUGAAAGAUUUAUCGCUCCAGGAUGAGUCUGCAUCUGAUUAGCUAGUUGGGGGUGUAAUGGACCACCAAGGCGACGAUCAGUAGCUGGUUUGAGAGGAUGAUCAGCCACAAUGGGACUGAGACACGGCCCAUACUCCUACGGGAGGCAGCAGUAGGGAAUUUUGCGCAAUGGGCGAAAGCCUGACGCCAGCAACGCCGCGUGAUCGUAGACGCCCUUCGGGGUGUAAAGAUCUGUCAGUAGGGACGAACAAUGACUGUACCUACAGAGGAAGCACCGGCUAACUCCGUGCCAGCCGCCGC
rnacentral:rRNA from 1 species